GAUCUGCGUGGGUACGGGCAGACUAGAGUGAUGUAGGGGAGACUGGAAUUCCUGGUGUAGCGGUGAAAUGCGCAGAUAUCAGGAGGAACACCGAUGGCGAAGGCAGGUCUCUGGGCAUUAACUGACGCUGAGGAGCGAAAGCAUGGGGAGCGAACAGGAUUAGAUACCCUGGUAGUCCAUGCCGUAAACGUUGGGCACUAGGUGUGGGGGACAUUCCACGUUUUCCGCGCCGUAGCUAACGCAUUAAGUGCCCCGCCUGGGGAGUACGGCCGCAAGGCUAAAACUCAAAGGAAUUGACGGGGGCCCGCACAAGCGGCGGAGCAUGCGGAUUAAUUCGAUGCAACGCGAAGAACCUUACCAAGGCUUGACAUGGACCAGACCGGACUGGAGACAGUUCUUCCCCUUUGGGGUUGGUUCACAGGUGGUGCAUGGUUGUCGUCAGCUCGUGUCGUGAGAUGUUGGGUUAAGUCCCGCAACGAGCGCAACCCUCGUUCUAUGUUGCCAGCACGUGAUGGUGGGGACUCAUAGGAGACUGCCGGGGUCAACUCGGAGGAAGGUGGGGACGACGUCAAAUCAUCAUGCCCCUUAUGUCUUGGGCUUCACGCAUGCUACAAUGGCCGGUACAAAGGGUUGCGAUACUGCGAGGUGGAGCUAAUCCCAAAAAGCCGGUCUCA
rnacentral:rRNA from 2 species